UCCCGCGUAGCUCAACGGCAGAGCGGCCGGCUGUUAACCGGCAGGUUAUUGGUUCGAGUCCAAUCGCGGGAG
rnacentral:tRNA from 1 species